AAAUGAAUUGAGCAAAAUCAACUCAAAAUAUUCCCACACGCCAGAACGUCCUCUCUUCCUCGCUGGCUCCAUAUCUGUCAGUGGAAUGAUCACCUCGUCGCUAUCUGUCACCAUCAACACACUCCACGAAUCCCGAGGAUGAUUCACUUCCUUAUAUCUGUUUGAAUCAGGUACCGAAGCAGUUACGUGCGUAACGAAGCUUCGGACGUCACUGGUCACGUGACUUUUGCCAAACGAAGCAAGCCUCGACACAGUGCUUCUGAACCAGUGUGUUGUUUUUUUCGACACACGCUCCGGAGCGUCAGCUUCAAGCGGGCCAUCACUAGUGAAAAUAUGAAGCGUUGGACAGCACCAGGCCCCGACAUGGUUCGCACCUACUAGCUGAAGAAGCUGACUGCACUCCACGAGCGUCUGGCAGCACAAAUGAACCAGCUGCUAGUUGACGAGAGACACCCGGAAUGGCUAACCGAAGGUCGGACGGUCCUGAUCCCCAAGGACCCCAAGGAGGGACCGGUCCCAUCCAACUACCGACCAAAGGAGGGAUAUUAGGCCCCUUAUGUCAAACAGAGUGAUUUGUGGCCCCAAUAAAAUGAUUUGUGACCCUAGGACGCCUCGUACCUGAAUGAACUCCUCCCAGGGAUUUCAUCAGAUCAACAAGCUGUUCGGUGAGGGGAAUCCUUGGUAGGACCUUCUAUUGUCAAGCAUUUGAGUUUUUGUGAAACAGCGUGGUCGUGGUGUCACGCUGAGUUCCCAUCAUUCACCGUGCAGCAUGUUCACAGCAGAUAUAUCGAACAAUUAUCUGGUAAGUUAUUGGACAAUGACACAUUUUGUUGUGUAGCCUCUGUGGAUGUGACUGAAGUGGAAACUUUCAGCUUUAAUUCAAGGGAUGUUCAUCGGUUAUGGACUUUAGGCAAAGGAUAGAUCCAAAUGUCAAAAACAAUACUCUUAUUUAAAAUUAUGUUCUGAAAAGAAAUGUGUCAAAAUAAAGUUCCUAAACAGAUGAAGAUAUAUUUUUGUUUAAACCCUUGAAAUGAAAGUGAUUAAAGCCUGCAGUUCAAUCAUUUCAACAGGUCUGUUCAUAAGUAACCGUUCCUUUUGAGCAGGGGCUCGUCUGUAGCAGCACUGUAGACGUUGGUAAGCACUUGUCCUUCAUGCUUUAGGUACUUGGGGUGUUCAGAGACAAGAAACACAGUGCAUUUGUUUGGACACUCGGUGAUCCCGGAACAGACCCCAUCAUAGCUGUAAAUGGGUUCUUCAUGCUCUGAGACCAGCACAAGAGAGCAGGAGACUCUUUUUGUACAGUGGAUCAAGCAGCUAUCACACGGGCUGGCAUUUAAUAUGUAUUCUGAUGUUACUGAACUCUCCCCCACUUUCAGUAAUGAAGACCAGCAAAUUUACAACCAGCUCUGCUACAGCUCAAAAGUGAGAGAAAGGUGGGAGACAAUACUGGUGUGUGGGGAUCCUACAUCCCUGUACACCAGUGUUAAGGAGAGGAAUGCUUAAUGACAGGUUAUGGUGGAUUUUGCAAAAAGGAUUGAAAUGGCUGUGGUGAAGUGCAGUGGUACAGGUAUCAAGAACGAGGGUGAUGCACAGAGCAGUUGUAAAUACAGGGGGAUGAAGUUGACGACAACGGGAAAGACUUGCUUAAGAAGCAACGUGACAGUGAGCAGCAGUAUGGCUUCAUGCUGAGAGAAAAGCAAGCGUACCAACAGAGAGCUGUGGAGAAGGUCUGAAGGAGUUACACUGUCUCUUUGUGGAGAAAGGAUGUGAUGGUGACAGGAGGGGAACUGUGGUCCUGCACGACUGCAAGGUACAUGAGGCUGGUGCAGGAACUAUAUAUAGGACAGUGAGCCAGUGGUGAGGUGUGCAGCAGGAGUGACAGAUGAGCUCAAGGCAGAGGUGGGAUCGUAUCAAGGAUCUGCUCCCAGCGCCUUCUUGUUUGCUAUGGAUACACACAUGGUCUGUUAGAUGAGGUCAGGCAGGAGUGUCCAUGGACUCUGAUGUUUGCAGACGACAUUGUGAUCUGAAGUAAGAGUAGGGAGCAGGUAGAAGAAACUCUGGAGAGGUGGAGGUAUGCACUGGAGAAAGAAGAAAUCAAAGACUGGUAGGAAGGUGUACACACAAGGAGCAGAGACGGUGGAAGUAGAUGAGUUCAAAGACCUGAGGUCAACCAUCCAAAGCAACAGGCAGUGUGCAAAAGAGGUGACGAUGCAUGGUGGAGCAGGUGAAGAUGAGCAACAGGGGCGACGGAGGAAAAGCAGUAGUGAAAGGGAAGCUUUACAAUACAGUAGAGACUCUGAAGAUGAUGGCACUGACGAACAGGAGACUGGGCUGGAGCUAUGCACGUUCAGUCCUCAUGUAACUGCACUGUUAAUGAACUUUAACAUGCCACUCCACGCUUGGGUUUCUGAAAACUGAACAGUCUUAGCUGGUGAACAGGGAACAGGUCACAGUACUUUUCUCAGUCCUGUCCUGUCUUUGGAAACGUUUCACUGGGAUUCCUUUAAAAUGUUUUUGUUUGAAAGGAUCCAUCCAUUCACAAGUACAUCAGAGCAGUGAACAUACAGGCAAAGAGCAGCUUUUUGGAGUCAUGGACAUGAAUCACAGCGUUAAUCCAACUAUGGAUGUGGUGACUUAUCAAUAUGUUCAUAGUUGUUUGAAAGAUCAGACAAGAAACCCCUCAAACGUCUCCAUCGAGUGGAUGGAGAUUAAUGGGACAUUACCCAAACAUAAAUUCUCCUCAUUUCUAACACCAAGUGUACUUUUACUGCCAAGAGCCAUCACAUCCAUUAACAAGUUUGUUUAAUAAAUGAUUAAAAGAUUUUCCCUGUGGCGUUUAUCUGCAAGUUUAAAUGUUGGCUUUGUUUUCAUGCAGUUUCCUCUCCUGAUUUCUGGGCCACACGCUCGAGGACAGAAAGAAAGUCUGCUCUCCUUUCCCGUCUCUCUCAGGGCCUGUGGUCUCAAACUCUAUUCCGAUUAAUUAAAUAAGCA
ensembl:lncRNA